rnacentral:lncRNA from 1 species
GAAGGCUUUCUGGAGGAGGUGUCUUUGGGCUGGGUCUGGUGGGGGCUGGGAUAGACCUCAUGGGAGGAAGUAAGGUCAGAGCUGGGAGAAGCCAGGAGCCUCUGUCUGGUGCUUUUUCAUCCCACACACAUAAGAAGGCCCUACUAUGCACCACGCCUGGUGCUAGCACUGGGCCACUGUCUAGAGGGGGAGACAGAUGCUCAUUGCAAUGGCGACCGUUUCCAGGAAGGAGAGAUUCAGGGGUGUUGGAGGGAUCACCAGGUGAGGGGGUCGGAGGAGGUGGCCCUGAGUGAGCUGUAUCGGUGUCUGAAGUGGGGAGGAAGAGCGCUGUGGGCAGAGGGAAGAGGGUGGAGCUCGGUGGUGGGAGGAAGCGGAGCACGUGGCACAGAGGCGCUGAGCACUCCCAAGGCUGCAACCCCGGGGAAGGGCCAGACCAUAGCUGUGAGUGCCAAAGAGGCAUUGAGGUUUCACUUGGGAGUCGAUGGGACACUACGAAAGGCAUGAAAGCGGGGUCAAAGGAGGCAGGGCUGGGGAGGUGAGGGCAGCGGUCAUGGGAGGAGGAAGUGCCCCCAGGGACUGGAGAAUGGGGUUUGUUGGGGGGUCGGAGGGAGGGGGACACAGCCAGGUGCCAGGGCCACAGUUCAAUUCAGGGUCUUUUUGAGCUCUGCGUGCUGAGCUCUCCUGGCCAGCAGCAGGCGGGUUAGGAUUGGGGUGGAGUUUGCUUUCAUUGUUAUUUCUGCUUUGUGGCCAUGGCUGUUGUUAUGUUUGUUAAAUGAAUGUGAAUGAUCCCUCUGCCUGGGCUCAUGGACUUGGAUCCCACCCCACACGCACCCACGCAAGCCUGAGCCCUGCCACGGCCUCCCCUUGCUCCACACAGCCUGGCACUGCCCUCAGCCCCACGGGCCUUCCUGUAGGCAGCAGCACCUUGUACACUGGGCCAGUGACUUGGGGGCCCCCAGGUGUGUACUCCUGUAUCCCCCUGUUCUGUUCUCAGCUUCUCACCACCCCCACAUUUGCUCCCUCCACCCCAACUCUUGUUCUCAUGGAGCCCUGCCCUCUCUCUUCCUGCAGGCCCUGACCUGCUGGGGACCCUCCCGUAAGAGCUUCACCAGUGAUUGGGAGCUGAGCUCUUGUCCUCAAAGGCAGGGGAGGGAGAGAGGGCAAGGGGACCCCAACCCUGUGAAGUCACUGGUGCAGAUGGAGUUGCCCUGUAGGCUGUGGGGUUAGGAGGGGUGGUGGGCAGGGCUGGCUGUGUUUCCCAGGCCUCAGGGUGGGCUUGCCUCAACCAGGCACCUUCGCAGCCAGGGCUGAAGCACCUGUAAUCCCGCCUUCCUCAGGACAAGUGAAGGACGCAUCUAGGGAUUCAUUCUUUCAUUUCACAGAUAUUUAUUGCACAUGGUGCCGGAGAAUGGCUAUGAGCAAGACAGAGGUGGUCUCUGUUCUCAAGGCAGCUACAGAGGGACAGCCACUCCCCCAGCCCCCAACUAUGAGCUUCCCAGAACUGGCCUGAAGGUGCAGCUGCAAUGAUACGGGCUCACAUCCUGGCAUCCUCAUUUGCUAGCGUGAAAAUCGCAUUUCUCCAAACCUCGGUUUUCUCAUCUGAAAAACAGGCACAGCACCUAGUUUGCAGGACUGGGAAAGUUACAGAGGGUUAAUGGCAAUGCGGUUGGCCUUGGGCACUCCUUGUUCUGACCUCUGGAGUUCGGCUGCCCUGUGGUCUGGCCCUGGCUCUGUGGAGAGGCUUUCCCAGGCCGAGGGGCUCACCAGGCCUUCCCUAGUGAGGAGCUCUUUCUGCCAGAGCUGAGCUCAUGGGCAGGGCGGGGCGCAGAGGCCACAUAUCAGCCAGCUGUCCUCCCUUUCCUGGGAGCUGGUCCAGAGACGAGGGGCAGGGCGUCUGGUUUUCAUUGUGCGGCCGUCUCUAAUUCCUCUGGCAUCUGAGCUACUUUUCAGAAGGAGGGAGAUGCACUUAACUGGUUGUGACCCAGCUUGGUGCUGAGGAAGAAGCCCUGGGCCUGGGAUCAAGCAGAGUUGAACUCGAAGCCUGCCUCAGCCACUUACCUGCUGUGUGACGCGGGGAGGCCACUGUAGAGCUGGCACGAAGGAGGCUUCCUGUCUGAAGGAGCUGGUGCAGACACACCGGUGGGGCACCCGGCAGAACAACAGCAGAAGAUCUGCAAUCACACGAACUGGCUGCCUGUUCUCUACACGAGUCCAAAUGCUGUCAGGCUCAUUUCUCUGUUUGACAGUGAGCCAUGGACAAGCUGUGGGGCAAAAGCAAGAACUGUACGUGGUCUCCAUUUACAGAACUCCCAGGCUGGUGGAGGUGGCUUUUGGUACAACUCAGGUCUGAGGGCAAAAAUACACACUUUGGCUUUGCACAAAGGGGCUGACGACCCCAUACGUACCCUAGCACCUGGGCUGCCCAGCUAAAGAGGUCAAGUGGCCACAAGCUGAGCCUACGGUAAUCUUUAAUAACUAGAGUAAAUUUCCUUGUGAACUGGAGAAUUGGUAAGACAAGCUCAAAACCAGAUCUUCCAACUGGCCUCCCUAUCCCCCAGCUCCCUCCUUCCUUUUUUCUAUCUCCUUAGCGAUUGUUGUCUUCUCCAAAGGGUCUCCCCUUUCCAAACCCCAACAUGAUUCUGUUUUGCCUCCUGUUAUGGACUGAAUUCUGUCCUCUCCCAAAUUCACAUGCUGAAGCCCUAACCCCCAGUACCUCAGCAUGUGAGUGUAUUUGGAGACAGGGCCUUUGAAGAGGUGAUUAAGGUUAAAUGAGGUCAUUAGGGUGGACCUUAAUCUAAUAUUAUAAUUUACAUAUUAUAUAUAAUAUAUAUUAUAAAUUAUAAAUUAUAUAUCAUAUAUUUUUAUAUAAUAUAUAAUAUAUACAAUAUAUGAUAUAUAAUAUAUAGUAUAUAAUAUAUAACAAAUUAUAUAUAAUACAUAAAAUAUAUAAUAUUAUAUAUCAUAUAUUAUAUAUAAUAGUAUAUAUAUUUAUAUGAUAUAUAAUAUAUAUGUAUUAUAUAAAUGUUAUAUAUUUUAUUAUAUAUAAUAUAUAUGUAAAUUAUAAUAUAUAUUAUAUAUUGUAUAAAUUAUAAUAUAUAAUAAAUAUACCAUAUUAGAUAUAUUGUAACUUAUAUAUUAUAUAAUUUAUAUAUUAUAAUAUAUAAAUUAUAUCUAAUAUGGUGUCCUCAUAAGAAGAGGGGAUUAGGACAUAUAGAGACAGAUGGCAGGGCUGUGCACGUACAGAGGAAAGACCAUGUGAGGACACAGUGAGAAGAUGGCCAGCUAUUACACAAGCCAUGGAGAGAGGCCUCGGGAGACACCAACGUGGCCGACACCUUGAUCUUGGACUUUUAGCCUCCAGAGCUGAGAAAAUAUUAAUAAAUUUCUGUUGGUUAAGUCACUUAGUCUGUGGAAUCGUGUUGUGGCAAUCUUCAACUAAUACACCUCCUAAUAAAAUACUUGUUUCUAAAGGGGGAGUUGUUGCAUGUUGAGGUUUUUACUGUGCACCUCUGUCUGGGGUGAAUGCUGGCAAACUGCAGGAAGACUGCGCCAUAAACCCUAUCAUGGUUUGGCUUCUUCCUUGACCCACUCAGAAAAAGUUCAGUUCUUCUGAAAAACUCACGAGUACUCCACAAGGUGGCACAUAUCACCCUCCACACCAUCCUCAUCUCGAGGUCUCUGUAGUACACCUGAGACCAAGGGGGGAGCUCGUGUACAUUCUGGUCUUUGUCAACAGUGACUCCCAACCACACCCUUAUUCUUUCAAAAUAUAUUUUAUUAGCGGCACAUGGAAUGUCAAGUUAAGCAAAUUCUUUCCAGAGAGAAGGUGAGCCUGACAGACUAAAACGUUGAGCACGGAUGAUACAGCAGAAAUAACAUUUCCAGUGUAAUGAGAGAUAAAGAGGAAUACUGCCCACCGAGGAAAUGACUUUCUUCACCAUGCUGACCACACUGCACAGCGCCCGAUCCGGCUGGUGAGGAUGGGGAGGUGGGAAGAAUCUCAAAGCACUGGACAGGGUGAGGACUCAGGAAGUCACGGGGUCAGCCCUACAGCAUCAGCUCCUCUCUGUUGUUGGAGAGGCCCUGAGCCCCAUUACUCACUAUACGAGGACCAGAGUGUCUUUGGCAGGUGGAGGCUGGCUCACGGGAGAACACCAAGUGAGGGGGCUCCUCUGUGAACCCAAGAAACUUCAAGGAACCCCACAGCGUCUCCCUUAUGACCUCCCAUCUCCAGAUUAGGAAGCUAUGGAUUCCCAGAGGGUCCUUUGGAAGUAUCUAGAAAUGUCCAGGGUGAGUCUAGCCAGGUUCACCUUCAGGAUGCUUUCCCCAUGCCCUGUGGUUGAGACGGCUCCGAUGUCAUUGUCGGCAUAACCUCCAGCUCCUGCUCAAAAAGGGUGAUUGUUCUGAGCAGUAACAGUCAAGAAAUUCAAAUCCAUAUUAGAAGUCGGACGCUACAUGAAAGUUAAAUCGCGAAGGGUGCUCAAGUACCGACAAAGGUCAGGUUAGUAGCCAUGAUCUGCGGAGGCAAAGGUGGACUAGAAAGCGUCAUGUAGAUGCCCCAGAAUUUAGGAGGAUAAAGGGAGCCUCAGAGGGGCAGGCCUGACCUUUCACAGAGCAGCUACAGCAGGACAGCAUCUCCUUGGCCCCAAAGCACAGCCAUUCCUUUUUGCUCAAUGAAGCCACCCUCUCCCUGUCUCCUCCUCAUGCCCCACACACUAUGGAGGAAGAAACAGCAUGACUGCAUUAUAUGGAUCUCUAGCAAGGCCAUCAUGUUCCAGUGAUUUGGGGAAAAUGAUACCCACAACCUAACAUCCAUGCACACUGUCUAAUGGAGGGCAGUUAUAUUUGUUGAGGGUGGGCAUAAUUGGACCUGAGGGAACUAUUCUGGGCUAUCCACUUAAGUGGGGGUCUGGAGUGAAAGCUACUUUGAUAAGAUUUCUUCCUUAUUUUGGGCUUGGAUUAAGCAACCUUACAGCCUUCUCUGAGUCAUUCUUGUAUCUGUUCACACACAGCUACCAGCCUCAGAGUCCUUUAGCCUUGGAAGGAUUCGCCUUUACCCUCCCACAGUUGAUACAGAAGCACAGAAGAUUGACAUUUGCCUUACUUAUUGAUGCUGGACAUGGGGCAAGGACUCAGGAGUUGAGAUGCUGCAUUGGAUUGUCACAAGGCCCCAGAGGUUCUCAAAGGCAGAUAAUCCCUGGCUCUGGUUCUGGAGGGAGCUGACACUGGACAGCCAAUGAACUGCUGCAGUGGGAGGAGGCGCCUUUACUUUUUCUUAUAAGCUUCUGCUGGGGAAUUAACUGACCGGGUUCCAUGGUGUCAAAGUGCCCUAAUAUUUGGAAGCAGCCAAGUCUUUGCUUACUUUUCAGUUACUCUAGGACCACAGAAGGCCAGGUGUCUCCAAGGGUGGUCCUGGCACAGGCAUCGGGCGUGUGAAGCUGUCCUCCCCGCCACAUGCACUUCUCAGGACAAGUGCAUUGCCUGAGGUGACCACUGCUGAGCCUAGUACCGUCCCCCAUGACUGUCCAGGCAGGGGCCUGGCCAGUGGCAGUGCUCCUUGGGGAGGCUCCUCAGAAGGCCAGGCAGAGCACACCUGGUGCUCACAGCUGGACAGAGAGUUCUGAGAAUUUAGCUUAUGCCUUUUCUUGUCAAGAUUUACCACUGUAACUCAAGCUUAAAAUUAAUUUCUAGGAUCUAACCUGGAGUGGCCCUGUGGCCUGGUCUGAACGCAGCUGAAGCAAGCUGCACUACUGACCAGGCACAGUUUGGUGGGAUUUUUGCCAAGGAGAAAGAAAGGUAGACUACUUCACAUCUCUUGGGUGAUAUACCAAGGAGAAGAGGAGUUACCAAGCCUCUACUCUUUUUAAGGAAGCUUCCAGUGUCUCUGAGUUCAUGACAGAAAAAGGGUAUCAAGAAUUGUCGAGAGUGUAGAUUAUUACUAAAGACUAGAGCAACACAUUAAAAAGGGAAGGUAGGGCUAGUUUUCCUCUAAAAGAAUAAGCUGCUCUUUAGGGCAGAUGGAACAAUUUAGCUGCUUCUCAAAACUUCAGUCACCUGUGGGGGUUCAUGAGGAUUCCUGCAUGACAAGUGUGAAAGUCUGCACGGAGUGAAACAUACAGCCCCCCAGCCCUGCCUCUCACCCACUCCUGGGAAUGAGAUGGCGUGCUUCC